CUGGGAGUAGAUAAUUCUGGAGGUAGAAGAGAAGCCUCGUAGUAUCCCUGGCGAUCCUUUGUGUACAAACAAAUAGUUACGAUCUUCAGAGAAUACAUGCAUCUGUCCUCUGUUUCAGUUUGGGCCCAUCUCCAGACUGAGAUCCCAAGUGGAGCAUUAUCAUAACUCGAAUCGCUGUUUCCCGGAGGCUGCACGUCUCGCACACUGUCCUGCUGUGGCCGGGAACGCGCGAGGCUUGCGUCACCAUUGAGAACAUGUGGUUAUUCAUUCAUGUGGCACUUACCUUGGAUAUCCUCAGCAACCAGAGAAAGCAGCUCUUCAAAAUGUAUGGAGACAGCCACCAGAUCAUGGCAAUAUGCAAAAUACGUGGUGUUGUAACAGAAUUAUGAAGUGACCUCUGGGACAGUGGUGAGGUGUGAGAAGGAGGAGGAUCAGUAUUGUCUUCCCCAGCUGCUCGGCGGGUCCCUGGGUCACAUCUCUUUGGUUUAACCAAUUACCCAUACGUGGAAAAGAAGCUGCAGUAACUGUUCUGAGAGCAGGCUUUCAGCUCACAGGAAAUACGUGCCAGUUUAAGGUACAGUAAAAGACAUUCAUACUGUUGUAUCAAGGUGCUUUUGCCGCAAGGAAAAAUCAGGCUUGCAGGCAGCUGCCAGAUCUCAGCUGGUACCUCAGCCUUCUGAUUUAUGAAUCUGAACUCUGACCCUCAUCUCCAGUUCUGUUGGGAUCAGCCUGUGCUUAAGAGAUUUGCCAGCAUAGCUAUGCUAGCAAAACAGUCCCCGUGUAGACUCAUCUUUUACAGAAGGAAAAGUGCCU
rnacentral:lncRNA from 1 species